rnacentral:rRNA from 1 species
AUUGAACGCUGGCGGCAUGCCUUACACAUGCAAGUCGAACGGCAGCACGGGUGCUUGCACCUGGUGGCGAGUGGCGAACGGGUGAGUAAUACAUCGGAACAUGUCCUGUAGUGGGGGAUAGCCCGGCGAAAGCCGGAUUAAUACCGCAUACGAUCCACGGAUGAAAGCGGGGGACCUUCGGGCCUCGCGCUAUAGGGUUGGCCGAUGGCUGAUUAGCUAGUUGGUGGGGUAAAGGCCUACCAAGGCGACGAUCAGUAGCUGGUCUGAGAGGACGACCAGCCACACUGGGACUGAGACACGGCCCAGACUCCUACGGGAGGCAGCAGUGGGGAAUUUUGGACAAUGGGCGAAAGCCUGAUCCAGCAAUGCCGCGUGUGUGAAGAAGGCCUUCGGGUUGUAAAGCACUUUUGUCCGGGAAGAAAUCCUUGACUCUAAUACAGUCGGGGGAUGACGGUACCGGAAGAAUAGGCACCGGCUAACUACGUG